rnacentral:rRNA from 1 species
CGAAGGAUGCAAGCGUUAUCCGGAUUCAUUGGGUUUAAAGGGAGCGUAGGUGGCCUUAUAAGCCAGUGGUGAAAUCUCUCGGCUUAACCGAGAAAUUGCCAUUGAUACUGUAGGGCUUGAGUAUAGUUGCCGUUGGCGGAAUAUGACAUGUAGUGGUGAAAUACAUAGAGAUGUCAUAGAACACCGAUUGCGAAGGCAGCUGACGAAACUAUAACUGACACUGAGGCUCGAAAGUGCGGGGAUCAAACAGGAUUAGAUACCCUGGUAGUCCGCACUGUAAACGAUGAUUACUCGCUGCUAGAGGGCAACUUUUAGUGGCUUAGCGAAAGCGAUAAGUAAUCCACCUGGGGAGUACGCCGGCAACGGUG